rnacentral:rRNA from 1 species
AAACUUUCAACAACGGAUCUCUUGGUUCUGGCAUCGAUGAAGAACGCAGCGAAAUGCGAUAAGUAAUGUGAAUUGCAGAAUUUAGUGAAUCAUCGAAUCUUUGAACGCACAUUGCGCCCCUUGGUAUUCCGGGGGGCAUGCCUGUUCGAGCGUCAUU